rnacentral:rRNA from 1 species
CCUACGGGAGGCAGCAGUAAGGAAUAUUGGACAAUGGAGGCAACUCUGAUCCAGCCAUGCCGCGUGAAGGAAGACGGCCUUAUGGGUUGUAAACUUCUUUUAUACAGGAAGAAACCUUUCCACGUGUGGAAAGUUGACGGUACUGUAAGAAUAAGGAUCGGCUAACUCCGUGCCAGCAGCCGCGGUAAUACGGAGGAUCCAAGCGUUAUCCGGAAUUAUUGGGUUUAAAGCGUCUGUAGGUGGUAAGGAAAGUGUAAUGUUAAAGAUCAGGGCUCAACCCUGGGAAAGCAUUGCAAACUAUCUUACUUGAGUUCGGUAGGGGCAGAGAGAAUUCCCAGUGUAGCGGUGAAAUGCGUAGAUAUUGGGAGGAAGACCGGUGGCGAAGGCGUUCUGCUGGGCCGUAACUGACACUCAGAGACGAAAGCUAAGGUAGCAAAUAGGAUUAGAUACCCUAGUAGUCUUAGCUGUAAACGAUGCACACUAUGUUUUGCAAUUUGCAGAGCAAUGGCUAACGCGUUAAGUGUGCCGCCUGGGGAGUACAUUCGCAAGGAUGAAACUCAAAGGAAUUGACGG